GCUCUGGUGGCCUAGUGGUUAGAGCAUCUGCCUCGGAUGCAGGAGGUCGUGGCUUUGAUCCCCGGUCGAAUCA